AUUGAACGCUGGCGGCAUGCUUUACACAUGCAAGUCGAACGGUAACAGGCCUUCGGGUGCUGACGAGUGGCGAACGGGUGAGUAAUGUAUCGGAACGUGCCCAGUAGUGGGGGAUAGCCCGGCGAAAGCCGGAUUAAUACCGCAUGAGAACUGAGGUUGAAAGCGGGGGACCUUCGGGCCUCGCGCUACUGGAGCGGCUGAUAUCAGAUUAGGUAGUUGGUGGGGUAAAGGCUCACCAAGCCUGCGAUCUGUAGCUGGUCUGAGAGGACGACCAGCCACACUGGGACUGAGACACGGCCCAGACUCCUACGGGAGGCAGCAGUGGGGAAUUUUGGACAAUGGGCGCAAGCCUGAUCCAGCAAUGCCGCGUGCAGGACGAAGGCCUUCGGGUUGUAAACUGCUUUUGUUACAGAACGAAAAGACCUUGGGUGAAUACCCUCGAGGGACAUGACGGUACUGUAAGAAUAAGCACCGGCUAACUACGUGCCAGCAGCCGCGGU
rnacentral:rRNA from 1 species